GACGAACGCUGGCGGCGCGCUUAACACAUGCAAGUCGAGCGAAGCGGCGGACGGGUGAGUAACACGUGAGUAACCUGCCUUAGACAUUGGGAUAGCCUCGGGAAACCGGGAUUAAUACCAAAUGGUCUAAGAUGGACUCGCGUCCCAUUAGCUAGUUGGUGGGUAACGGCCUACGAAGGCGACGAUGGGUAGCCGGCCUGGGAGGGUGAACGGCCACGUUGGAACUGGGAAGCGGUCCAAACUCUACGGGAGGCGGGAAUGGGGAAUAUUGCACAAUGGAGGGAACUCUGAUGGAGCGACGCCGCGUGAACUAAGAAGGCGUUCGAGUCGUAAAGUACUUUUAUAUGGGAAGCGGUACCAUAAGAAAAAGCCCCGGCUAACUACGUGCCAGCAGCCGCGGUAAUUC
rnacentral:rRNA from 1 species